rnacentral:tRNA from 1 species
AUUUAGAUAGUUUAUACUAACAAAACAUUAUCCUGUGGAGAUAAUAAAAUAAUUUUUAUUCUAGAUC